rnacentral:rRNA from 1 species
UACGUAGGGUGCAAGCGUUAAUCGGAAUUACUGGGCGUAAAGCGUGCGCAGGCGGUUUUGUAAGUCUGUCGUGAAAGCCCCCGGGCUUAACCUGGGAACUGCGUUUGAAACUGGGAGACUUGAGUGUGGCAGAGGGGGGGUGGAAUUCCACGUGUAGCAGUGAAAUGCGUAGAUAUCGGGAGGAACACCAGUAGCGAAGGCGGCACUCUGGGCCGGUACUGACGCUGAGGAGCGAAAGCGUGGGGAGCGAACAGG